rnacentral:lncRNA from 10 species
UGCAAACCAAGCACUGUGUGGGCCUCUAUCAGUGAAGAGGAGAGUUGCUUCCCUAACACCUGCCUCCCCCAAGACUUUGAGGCCUGCAAGUGGUAGCAGCAACGUGGAAAGAGGGCUGCAUCGCGGGACUCUGGGAGCUGACAGAAUGCUUUGUCACCCAAGCUGGAAUGCAAUGGUGUGAUCUCGGCUCACUGCAACCUCCACCUCUCGGGUUCAAGCAAUUCUCCUGCCUCAGCCUCCUGAGUAGCUGGGAUUAUAAGCACCCGCCAUCAUGCCCAGCUAAUUUUUGUAUUUUUGUAGAGAUGGGAUUUCACCAUGUUGGCCAGGCUGAUCUUGAACUCCUGACCUCAGGUGAUCCACCCACCUUGGCCUCCCAAAGUGCUGGGAUUACAGGCAUGAGCCACUGCGUCCGGCCUAACUUAAGAAUCUUUCACUAUUGUGGCCAAGAGAAAAGUCUUGGAUUUGGAUAAACUGGAUGCUUCUUUUUUCCUGUCUUGGGUCAUACAGCGGCUCUUUCUAGGAGUCUAGUUUCUUGCUAAUUGCAGAUGAAGCCUGAUCUGAUGGAUCCCCCUCGCCUUGAGAAUGCUCUGAUACUCUGAGACCUGGAGCUGGAUGUUUAGGAUAAUGCCUUCCUUGGAGCCUCACGCUUUGGGAAGGUGGUGAUUGACUGAUUCGUGCAUGUCCAUGCAAUUUGGCGCAUUCAGCUGCGUGCUUGCGGAUGUGGAUGUAUUUCACAGAAGCAGCAGCCUGCCUUCCCUUCCCUGGAUUCCAUCUGCUGUGCGAAACAAGAUCUGCAGUCAUUCCCAGGUGCUGAUCAGAAACCCACAAAUAUCUGCCAGGCUGGCAACAGACCCUAAAGAGAGAUCAGAAACUGAAGUUUGGCUUGCUGACGUGACUUGCUCAAGGUCACAUAGCUACGAAUUGUAGACCUAGAACUAAAAACAUCCUGGCUCCUUGUCUAGUUUUUAUUGCUCUAUCCCAGGUUGUCUAGCUUAACUAACUCUUGCUUCAUGGAGCUUGUAGGAAAGGAUGCCCUGCAAAUGCAGGACGUAAGCAUCUGGGGAAUAUAUCCAAUCAUUCUUGCAUUAAAC